GGACCCGCACAAGUAGUGGAGCAUGUGGUUUAAUUCGAAGAUACGCGCAGAACCUUACCAACACUUGACAUGUUCGUCGCAACUCUGAGAGAUCAGAGUUUUCGGUUCGGCCGGACGAAACACAGGUGCUGCAUGGCUGUCGUCAGCUCGUGUCGUGAGAUGUUGGGUUAAGUCCCGCAACGAGCGCAACCCUCACUUUUAGUUGCCAUCAUUAAGUUGGGCACUCUGAAAGAACUGCCAGUGAUAAGCUGGAGGAAGGUGGGGAUGACGUCAAGUCCUCAUGGCCCUUACGUGUUGGGCUACACACGUGCUACAAUGGUAUCUACAACAGGAAGCAAAACUGCGAAGUUAAGCAAAUCCCUAAAAGAUACCUCAGUUCGGAUUGCACUCUGCAACUCGAGUGCAUGAAGCUGGAAUUACUAGUAA
rnacentral:rRNA from 1 species